rnacentral:misc_RNA from 1 species
CGAGGAUGGUGGAAAGAUGCGAAAGAGACAUCGAACAGAGCCACAACAAAUGAUAAGCAGAUGAAUGACGAGAAGAGCAAAGUUUCAGGCAGGCAAAAUGAUGUUUGGCGCCAUGACAGGUACUUUGAAGUAAAGGAAGAUCCUAAACCACCUGUGAAGAAAAGGUCAUUUAGGGAGGAAAAGAUUCCAGUGGAUACUGAAAAACUUGAGAAAGCUGUGACGGAGCUUGUUAAGCCUAAUCCUUCUCACCCUGAAGUAGAUGGCGGAAGAAAGAAUGAAAGAACUGACCACAUGUCACGCCAUCCUGGUAGAUAUGAGAGACCAUUUACUGGUGAGAGGUAUGCAAACAGGGGUCAAACAUGGAGGGGCAAAUUUCCAUCAAGAGACAGGUACCAUGGCAAUAGUGAUCACAGGGGGAGAGACAGAUUCAGUUCAAGGCAAGGACCUAAUCCAAGUAAGGUGGUUGAAAAGUGGAAACACGAUCUUUAUGAUGAGGCAAACAAGAAUCCAACUCCGAAGAAUGAAGAAGAUCAAAUAGCAAAAAUCGAAGCACUAUUGUCUUCAUAGGUCUUGCAGUUAAGUGAAGUGGUAGUUCCUGUUUCUUUGUUUGUCGAAAAAGGUAAGGGGGGGUUAUUACUGAUGAUCGAAGUAUUGCUGUACAAUCCUCUCAAUUUUGAUUUUAGGCAAUGCUAUUUUGUAUCUGUUGUUUGGAUUUGUG